AACGCUAGCGGCAGGCCUAACACAUGCAAGUCGAGGGGCAGCGGAAAGUAGCUUGCUACUUUGCCGGCGACCGGCGCACGGGUGCGUAACGCGUAUGUAACCUACCUUAAACAGGGGCAUAACACUGAGAAAUUGGUACUAAUUCCCCAUAAUACUUUGGAAGGCAUCUUCUGGAGUUGAAAGUUCCGGCGGUUUAAGAUGGACAUGCGUUGUAUUAGUUAGUUGGUGAGGUAACGGCUCACCAAGACGACGAUACAUAGGGGGACUGAGAGGUUAACCCCCCACAUUGGUACUGAGACACGGACCAAACUCCUACGGGAGGCAGCAGUGAGGAAUAUUGGUCAAUGGACGCAAGUCUGAACCAGCCAUGCCGCGUGCAGGAUGACGGCUCUAUGAGUUGUAAACUGCUUUUGUAUGAGGGUAAAUGUAGGUACGUGUACCUAUUUGAAAGUAUCAUACGAAUAAGGAUCGGCUAACUCCGUG
rnacentral:rRNA from 1 species